rnacentral:rRNA from 1 species
UACGGGGGGGGCAAGCGUUGUUCGGAAUUACUGGGCGUAAAGGGCUCGUAGGUGGCCAACUAAGUCAGACGUGAAAUCCCUCGGCUUAACCGGGGAACUGCGUCUGAUACUGGAUGGCUUGAGUUUGGGAGAGGGACGCGGAAUUCCAGGUGUAGCGGUGAAAUGCGUAGAUAUUGGGAGGAACACCAGUGGCGAAGGCGGCUCACUGGACCGGAACUGACGCUGAGGCGCGAAAGCGUGGGGAGCAAACGGG